GAUGAACGCUGGCGGCGUGCCUAAUACAUGCAAGUCGAGCGAACAGAUGAGGAGCUUGCUUCUCUGACGUUAGCGGCGGACGGGUGAGUAACACGUGGAUAACCUACCUAUAAGACUGGGAUAACUUCGGGAAACCGGAGCUAAUACCGGAUAAUAUAUUGAACCGCAUGGUUCAAUAGUGAAAGACGGUCUUGCUGUCACUUAUAGAUGGAUCCGCGCUCCAUUAGCUAGUUGGUAAGGUAACGGCUUACCAAGGCAACGAUGCAUAGCCGACCUGAGAGGUGAAUCGCCACACUGGAACCGAGAAACGGUCCAGACUCCUUCGGGGAGGAGCAGGUAGGAAUCUUCCGGAAUUGGGCAAAAGCUGACGGAGCAAACGCGGGUGAAGUGUGAAGGUCUUCAGGAUGGAAAAACCUUUUUAUUGGGGAAGAAAAAAUUGUAAGGUAACAUUGACGUUUUGACGGUACCUAAUCAGGAAACCACGGCUAAAUUAGUG
rnacentral:rRNA from 1 species